rnacentral:rRNA from 1 species
AUACGGAGGGUGCAAGCGUUACUCGGAAUCACUGGGCGUAAAGCGCGCGCAGGCGGUCUUUUAAGUUGGAUGUGAAAGCCUACGGCUCAACCGUAGAACUGCAUCCAAAACUAUUAGACUAGAGUGUGGGAGAGGAAGAUGGAAUUAGUUGUGUAGGGGUAAAAUCCGUAGAGAUAACUAGGAAUACCAAAAGCGAAGGCAAUCUUCUGGAACACUACUGACGCUGAGGCGCGAAAGCGUGGGGAGCAAACGGGAUUAGAUACCCUUGUAGUCC